GCUCCCUUCUGUAAACAGUCUUUUUCUAAUUCUGUCCACACUUUAUCAGUUCUGAUGUAGAUCAUGAUAUCAUCAGCAUUUGCUAACAAUUAUUUUUCAUCAUUUUCUAACUCCUAGAAAGUACUGUCUUCAACCUUACCAAUGUCAGUGGCGGCGACGGUGGCGUCACCAUCACCAUCAGAGAAAAAGAAAUAUGCCUUUAUGUCAUGGGUUGAUGGCCUAACACUGGCUUAACACUCAUGUCGGCUGCACUAAUUGAAGUCACAUCCAAGUGGGUCAAUGCACUGAACAUAUCUGAUAUAGAAGGUCCCAGAUCCUGAAUUUUUAUCAAUGGUUUGCUGUAUAAGGCUUGCCUCCCAAAUAGCUGAGGACCCUUAUUUGGGAAGAUACGUUCUGAUGGUUAAGCAACAGCACAGAUGUCGAUGGGAAUGAGUGAUGGCCAUCCAGUGACCAGCUGGAUCUGACUGCCUUACAAGACGCAUGUGUAUGAUUAAGAGAGAGACAUUCGUGACUCCCAGAUGUACCUCCUUCCUGUCCCACAGUGUUCCUGAAGGGAGUGAGUUAUGGGGUAACUUAUAACACAGCAGGCUCUUCCUCAAGAUAGCUCUUGUCAAAACAGGAAGACGAAACUCGGGUUUCCAUGAGGAGACCACAGCUUGGGAUCCUGUCUGGAUGUACAAGCAGAAGCAUCUUCAUACUUUUCCAUUUCUAACCAUCAUGCCUCACCCCACCCUCCCAAGGCGACAUCUGCAGAGAGGUGGAACCAUCUAGGGAGGCCUGCCACUGUUUGCUGAGCUCCGGGUGAGGAUGAAGACACUUUGACAUGGCCAGCUUCAGACUCGGG
rnacentral:lncRNA from 1 species